rnacentral:rRNA from 1 species
GAUUAACGCUGGCGGCAUGCCUAAUACAUGCAAGUCGAUCGGAUGUAGCAAUACAUUAGAGGCGAACGGGUGAGUAACACGUAUCCAAUCUGCCUUAUAGUGGGGGAUAACUAGUCGAAAGAUUAGCUAAUACCGCAUAACAAGUUAACUAUCGCAUGAGAAUAACUUUAAAGAAGCAACUGCUUCGCUAUAAGAUGAGGGUGCGGCAUAUCAGCUAGUUGGUGAGGGUAAUGGCCCACCAAGGCGAUGACGUGUAGUUAUGCUGAGAGGUAGAAUAACCACAAUGGGACUGAGACACGGCCCAUACUCCUACGGGAGGCAGCAGUAGGGAAUUUUUCACAAUGGACGAAAGUCUGAUGGAGCAAUGCCGCGUUAACGUUGAAGGUCUUUUUAGAUUGUAAAGUUCUUUUAUUUGGGAAGAACAGUUAGUAGAGUGGAAAGCUAUUAAUUUGACUGUACCAUUUGAAUAAGUAACGACUAACUAUGUGCCAGCAGUCGCGGUAAUACAUAGGUUGCAAGCGUUAUCCGGAUUUAUUGGGCGUAAAACAAGCGCAGGCGGAUUAGAAAGUCUGGUGUUAAAAGCAAUUGCUUAACGAUUGUAUGCAUUGGAAACUUCUAGUCUAGAGUUUGGUAAGUCCUGGAACUCCAUGUGGAGCGGUGAAAUGCGUAGAUAUAUGGAAGAACACCAGAGGCGAAGGCGAGGACUUGGGCCAAUACUGACGCUUAGGCUUGAAAGUGUGGGGAGCAAAUAGGAUUAGAUACCCUAGUAGUCCACACUGUAAACGAUGGAUGUUAAGUGUCGGAGCGAAUACUUCGGUGCUGCAGUUAACACAUUAAACAUCCUGCCUGAGUAGUACAUUCGCAAGAAUGAAACUCAAACGGAAUUGACGGGGACCCGCACAAGUGGUGGAGCAUGUUGCUUAAUUCGACGGUACACGAAAAACCUUACCUAGACUUGACAUCUUGGGCGAAGCUAUAGAAAUAUAGUGGAGGUCAACCCAAUGACAGGUGGUGCAUGGUUGUCGUCAGCUCGUGUCGUGAGAUGUUGGGUUAAGUCCCGCAACGAGCGCAACCCUUAUCGUUAGUUACUUUGUCUAACGAGACUGCCAACGUAAGUUGGAGGAAGGUGGGGAUGACGUCAAAUCAUCAUGCCCCUUAUGUCUAGGGCUGCAAACGUGCUACAAUGGCCAAUACAAUCAGUUGCAAAUCCGUAAGGUGGAGCUAAUCUGUAAAGUUGGUCUCAGUUCGGAUUGAGGGCUGCAAUUCGCCCUC